rnacentral:rRNA from 1 species
AGCGUACACGGUGGAUGCCCUGGCAGUCAGAGGCGAUGAAGGACGUGCUAAUCUGCGAUAAGCGUCGGUGAGGUGAUAUGAACCGUUAUAACCGGCGAUUUCCGAAUGGGGAAACCCAGUGUGUUUCGACACACUAUCAUUAACUGAAUCCAUAGGUUAAUGAGGCGAACCGGGGGAACUGAAACAUCUAAGUACCCCGAGGAAAAGAAAUCAACCGAGAUUCCCCCAGUAGCGGCGAGCGAACGGGGAGGAGCCCAGAGCCUGAAUCAGUGUGUGUGUUAGUGGAAGCGUCUGGAAAGGCGCGCGAUACAGGGUGACAGCCCCGUACACAAAAAUGCACAUACUGUGAGCUCGAUGAGUAGGGCGGGACACGUGGUAUCCUGUCUGAAUAUGGGGGGACCAUCCUCCAAGGCUAAAUACUCCUGACUGACCGAUAGUGAACCAGUACCGUGAGGGAAAGGCGAAAAGAACCCCGGCGAGGGGAGUGAAAAAGAACCUGAAACCGUGUACGUACAAGCAGUGGGAGCCUCUUAAUGGGGUGACUGCGUACCUUUUGUAUAAUGGGUCAGCGACUUAUAUUCUGUAGCAAGGUUAACCGAAUAGGGGAGCCGAAGGGAAACCGAGUCUUAACUGGGCGUUAAGUUGCAGGGUAUAGACCCGAAACCCGGUGAUCUAGCCAUGGGCAGGUUGAAGGUUGGGUAACACUAACUGGAGGACCGAACCGACUAAUGUUGAAAAAUUAGCGGAUGACUUGUGGCUGGGGGUGAAAGGCCAAUCAAACCCGGAGAUAGCUGGUUCUCCCCGAAAGCUAUUUAGGUAGCGCCUCGUGAAUUCAUCUCCGGGGGUAGAGCACUGUUUCGGCAAGGGGGUCAUCCCGACUUACCAACCCGAUGCAAACUGCGAAUACCGGAGAAUGUUAUCACGGGAGACACACGGCGGGUGCUAACGUCCGUCGUGAAGAGGGAAACAACCCAGACCGCCAGCUAAGGUCCCAAAGUCAUGGUUAAGUGGGAAACGAUGUGGGAAGGCCCAGACAGCCAGGAUGUUGGCUUAGAAGCAGCCAUCAUUUAAAGAAAGCGUAAUAGCUCACUGGUCGAGUCGGCCUGCGCGGAAGAUGUAACGGGGCUAAACCAUGCACCGAAGCUGCGGCAGCGACACUAUGUGUUGUUGGGUAGGGGAGCGUUCUGUAAGCCUGUGAAGGUGGCCUGUGAGGGUUGCUGGAGGUAUCAGAAGUGCGAAUGCUGACAUAAGUAACGAUAAAGCGGGUGAAAAGCCCGCUCGCCGGAAGACCAAGGGUUCCUGUCCAACGUUAAUCGGGGCAGGGUGAGUCGACCCCUAAGGCGAGGCCGAAAGGCGUAGUCGAUGGGAAACAGGUUAAUAUUCCUGUACUUGGUGUUACUGCGAAGGGGGGACGGAGAAGGCUAUGUUGGCCGGGCGACGGUUGUCCCGGUUUAAGCGUGUAGGCUGGUUUUCCAGGCAAAUCCGGAAAAUCAAGGCUGAGGCGUGAUGACGAGGCACUACGGUGCUGAAGCGACAAAUGCCCUGCUUCCAGGAAAAGCCUCUAAGCAUCAGGUAACAUCAAAUCGUACCCCAAACCGACACAGGUGGUCAGGUAGAGAAUACCAAGGCGCUUGAGAGAACUCGGGUGAAGGAACUAGGCAAAAUGGUGCCGUAACUUCGGGAGAAGGCACGCUGAUAUGUAGGUGAAGCGACUUGCUCGUGGAGCUGAAAUCAGUCGAAGAUACCAGCUGGCUGCAACUGUUUAUUAAAAACACAGCACUGUGCAAACACGAAAGUGGACGUAUACGGUGUGACGCCUGCCCGGUGCCGGAAGGUUAAUUGAUGGGGUUAGCGGUAACGCGAAGCUCUUGAUCGAAGCCCCGGUAAACGGCGGCCGUAACUAUAACGGUCCUAAGGUAGCGAAAUUCCUUGUCGGGUAAGUUCCGACCUGCACGAAUGGCGUAAUGAUGGCCAGGCUGUCUCCACCCGAGACUCAGUGAAAUUGAACUCGCUGUGAAGAUGCAGUGUACCCGCGGCAAGACGGAAAGACCCCGUGAACCUUUACUAUAGCUUGACACUGAACAUUGAGCCUUGAUGUGUAGGAUAGGUGGGAGGCUUUGAAGUGUGGACGCCAGUCUGCAUGGAGCCGACCUUGAAAUACCACCCUUUAAUGUUUGAUGUUCUAACGUGGGCCCCUUACCGGGGUUGCGGACAGUGUCUGGUGGGUAGUUUGACUGGGGCGGUCUCCUCCUAAAGAGUAACGGAGGAGCACGAAGGUUGGCUAAUCCUGGUCGGACAUCAGGAGGUUAGUGCAAUGGCAUAAGCCAGCUUGACUGCGAGCGUGACGGCGCGAGCAGGUGCGAAAGCAGGUCAUAGUGAUCCGGUGGUUCUGAAUGGAAGGGCCAUCGCUCAACGGAUAAAAGGUACUCCGGGGAUAACAGGCUGAUACCGCCCAAGAGUUCAUAUCGACGGCGGUGUUUGGCACCUCGAUGUCGGCUCAUCACAUCCUGGGGCUGAAGUAGGUCCCAAGGGUAUGGCUGUUCGCCAUUUAAAGUGGUACGCGAGCUGGGUUUAGAACGUCGUGAGACAGUUCGGUCCCUAUCUGCCGUGGGCGCUGGAGAACUGAGGGGGGCUGCUCCUAGUACGAGAGGACCGGAGUGGACGCAUCACUGGUGUUCGGGUUGUCAUGCCAAUGGCACUGCCCGGUAGCUAAAUGCGGAAGAGAUAAGUGCUGAAAGCAUCUAAGCACGAAACUUGCCCCGAGAUGAGUUCUCCCUGACUCCUUGA